UUAGUUGGUAAUUGUUGAUGGGCCAGAUUACCCUAAUUAACUAAUUGGGUUUCCCCUUGGGUGUAUAUAAGGAGAUUACUAGAGAGGGAUUAGGGUUAGACCCUCAUAACAUCACACUAAAAUCGCCCUCCUCUCUCUCCAUUACUACGAGUUCUUCAACCCUAAAGAACUCGGUACUACCAUCAAGAAGAUACAUCCUAAAGGGGAACCAGACCAAUCUGACGAACAUGACGUCUACUUCCCUCUCUGGAGUGGUGACUGCUAAUCAGGGUUUAUGUUUUACCCAUGAUCUUAUGAUAUAAUCAACAUGUGGUAUCAGAGCGAUGUUGAUUAUAUAAAUUCAAUCAUUUAAUUCGAUUACAAAGUUUGCUUUGAUGGGAUAUACGGAUUCAAAUAACUUAAAUAAAUCUAAUGGAUAUAUUAUUUUUUCUGAAAUCAGUUUGCAUAUAAUCAACAUGUGAAGCCAUUAGUUUAAUAUAUUGAAAAUCUUUUGACUUUUUUGACUUUGCAAAAGAAUUCGUAAUCCCAGAAUGUGUUGAGAAUGAAUGAUAAUUGUUACCUUUUAAUAUUUUAUAAUUAUUCUAUCAUUCAUAUACAUAUAAAUUUCUGACGUGAUAUAUUCUAAUAUAUAUAUAUCUUGAUUCAAUUUUGAGUUAUCAAGAUUCUAAAGUAAUAAUUCAUCACCAGCUUUUCAGUGGGGUGAUUUAAUUUUUUUUUUUUUUUAGUGGCUUGAAGUUAUACAAUUAAUAUGUUUUUGAAUACUUGCCGCAUAGUGUAACGAAAUCAAUUUUUGUUGAUUAUUAUUUCAUUAUAUAUGGUCAUUAAUCUUUAAAGAAGAACCCUUUAUUUUCGGAUAACAUUAGGAUUUGAUUAUAUUUUCUAAAAUUAUAUAUCUUCGUCUCCAAGUUUCGAAUAAAAAUAUUAUCUUUAAAUUUAUAAUCGAAUAAUUAACUUGGAUAGAUACACAUAAGAUAUUUUGAAAUUAUAAUCAAAUCCAUUAAAAUUAGUUGAUUCAACCUUAUCACAAAACAGCUGUUAACGAGGUUGCUACUCGCAACCAUGAGGUUGCUACUCGCAACCAUGAGGUUGCUACUCGAAACCAUGAGGUUGCGACUCGCAACCAUAACGUGAUUGAUCGAAACCAUGAGGUUGCGACUCGCAACCAUAACGUGAUUAGUCGAGACCAAGGUUGCGACUCGAAACCAUAACAGCAUAACUCGAGACUAAGGUUGCGACUCGAAACCAUAACAGCAUAACUCGAGACUAAGGUUGCGACUCGAAACCAUAACAGCAUAACUCGAGAGUAAGGUUGCGACUCGAAACCAUAACAGCACGACUCGAGACCAUGACUCGAAAUCUCAAAACUUAGGCUGUUUAAUGUGAACUAAGACUUAGCUAAUUAAUAAUUGGUUUUGUAAAUACUUAGUUAAUUAAUAAGGAUCAAAUAAUCUUUUACAAAACCAAAAUGGCUUAACUUGAAUGAGCUUCUGAUGUAUCACUUCUGGCCAAAGCUGAUUUGAUGCAUCUAUUUAUUGUUCAAGUAUUAUAAAAGCUAUGUUAAGCAUGCAUUACAAACGUGAAAUGUCUUAAUUCUGGCCAAAGCUGAUUUAAUUCAUUUAUGUUUAGCAUGCUUGACAAGUGCAUAACUAAAGUGAUUGUCUCAUUUCUGGCCAAAGCUGAUUUGUCACGAUUACUUUGCACACAUACUUAAAUGAUUACACUUCUGGCCAAAGCUGAUUUGUCUUUGUUUAAGUAGGACUUUACUAAGUCUAUUAUUUUGAUGUUAGUAAUAGACAUAUCACAAUCUCUUCAUAUAAUGAUCCUUAUAUCAAUGAUCCUUACAUAAUUUUAUGAUCUUUUCGUCUGCUUUAUUUUAAGUACCCAUAAUUUUACUCACUAUAAUUUACUUCUACCUAUAUCUCAUCCACUCUAAUUCCUAAACCCAAAAUGUUUGCUUUAUUUAAAGUUUCUAUUGGAAUUAGCUCUUAAAUUAAAUCCUUGAUUAUUUCUUAAGACACGAUAAUCCUAUUGCUCUCUUCUGAUAAAGAUUAUAAAGAAGAAAAUUAGAGCAUGAUGAUCAGGACAAAUCGAACAUGAUGUCUCUUAUAAUAAUCAAGAACUCUCUAACAUAAUGCUAUCACUAAAGUUAUUCCAGAUUAAGAUU
rnacentral:lncRNA from 1 species